ACCGAAAUGAAAAUACCUUUUGCGGUCCGAUACAUCAAAUUGGUUGUGGAAUGUUUCGAGUCAUAUCACAGCCAUUUUGAUGAGCUUGGCCCGCAGAAUC